rnacentral:rRNA from 1 species
AGCAGUAGCCGCGGGAAUACGUAGGUGGCAAGCGUUGUCCGGAAUUAUUGGGCGUAAAGGGCUCGCAGGCGGUUUCUUAAGUCUGAUGUGAAAGCCCCCGGCUCAACCGGGGAGGGUCAUUGGAAACUGGGAAACUUGAGUGCAGAAGAGGAGAGUGGAAUUCCACGUGUAACGGUGAAAUGCGUAGAGAUGUGGAGGAACACCAGUGGCGAAGGCGACUCUCUGGUCUGUAACUGACGCUGAGGAGCGAAAGCGUGGGGAGCGAACAGGAUUAGAUACCCCCGUAGUCCCUGUCUCUUAUCC